rfam:Canis lupus familiaris chromosome X, whole genome shotgun sequence.
AGGAGCAACAGCCCCAGUGGCGGGGCCAGCUCUGGAAACCUGGAUUCAGCUCCCGCAGGAACUCCGUCUGCAGGGCCUGGAGGCUCCGGGGCGGG